GAAAUUAUUUUCAUAUUUAACCAAAGAUUAUUUUGUUGCUAAUAAUAAUAGAAAAGAUAAAUAAAUAAAUAAUAAUAAAAACAAUAUAAGGGCAAUGUUGAUGGCUGUAGUGGAGAGAAGCAGUUCACGCAGCCGCCGAGGAAAAAAAAUUAGAAAAGAGUUGGGCGAGAAUUACGUCUUCUUCCGGUGGUUGGAAAAAAUGAAUUUUUCUUCAGAUUGCUUGAGUUGGAAGUUCAGCAAAAGGGGAAAAUCCAAGUCUCGGAGUGAAUUCUCGAUUAAUUGAGGCAAGUGGAUUUCUAAACUCUUGUUAAGUGUAUGAAAUGCGUGUAUUUUCUUGUGGUAUAUGUUUGGGAGUAACGGGAUUGGUGAUGGAUUGACUUGUCCACAUUGAUUAAUUUAAUGAUGAAAAAAAAAGGAUAAAAAAAAAGGCAAUGUGAUUAAAUAUUUAAGUGUGAUGUGUUCAGAAAGGGAUGAAGGAUUGUUGAAUCAUUGUUGAUGUGAUUUCAUGUUUGUGUGGUUUUGAAUUGUGCAAUGUUAUGAAAA